rnacentral:tRNA from 1 species
GCCCCCUUGGCGGAACGGUAGACGCUGGAGACUUAAAAUCUUCUGCCUUCGGGCGUGCCGGUUCGAGCCCGGCAGGGGGCACCA